GGCUCGUCCGCCCAGGGUUAGUCGGGACCUAAGCCGAGGCCGAUAGGCGUAGGCGAUGGACAACAGGUUGAUAUUCCUGUACCAGUUGUUUUUGUUUGAGCAAUGGAGGGACGCAGUAGGCUAAGGAAUGCAUGCGAUUGGAAGUGCAUGUCCAAGCAAUGAGUCUUGAGUAGAGUUAAAUGCUUUACUCUCUAAGGACAAGUUGUGACGGGGAGCGAAAUAAUAGUAGCGAAGUUCCUGAUGUCACACUGCCAAGAAAAGCUUCUAGUGAGAAAACAACUGCCCGUACCGUAAACCGACACAGGUAGUCGAGGAGAGUAUCCUAAGGUGAGCGAGCGAACUCUCGUUAAGGAACUCGGCAAAAUGACCCCGUAACUUCGGGAGAAGGGGUGCUGACUUCGGUCAGCCGCAGUGAAUAGGCCCAAGCGACUGUUUAUCAAAAACACAGGUCUCUGCAAAAUCGUAAGAUGAAGUAUAGGGGCU
rnacentral:rRNA from 1 species